rnacentral:rRNA from 1 species
UACAGAGGGGGCAAGCGUUGUUCGGAAUUACUGGGCGUAAAGGGCGCGUAGGCGGCCCGCUAAGUCGAACGUGAAAUCCCCGAGCUCAACUCGGGAACUGCGUCCGAUACUGGCGGGCUUGAAUUCGGGAGAGGGAUGCAGAAUUCCAGGUGUAGCGGUGAAAUGCGUAGAUAUCUGGAGGAAUACCGGUGGCGAAGGCGGCAUCCUGGACCGACAUUGACGCUGAGGAGCGAAAGCCAGGGGAGCAAACGGG